UUGAAUAUGUGGCAGAGAAAAGUUCUACCUGUCCAAGGAGCAGGGAACAAGAACAUGCUGUGUCUUCUCUGUGGCUCCUUUUUCACUAAAGGGCCUUCCUGGUUCUAAGGCAGAAAUGUCAUGAAGAGAUAGAGUCACUGCCAGUCCCUGGGCAUGCUGAUGGCUGACUCUGAGUUCACCCUGGAAUCUCUGCUUGGGUAAAGUGUGACUUGA